CGGGGCGUGACAGAUUAAAGUAGUAUCAGAGCGAGGUUACAACCACAACACCAUUCACAGGUCGUUUUGAAAAGUAAAUGAAACUGAACCAUUGGUUAGGUUGAUCCUUAGGAAGACCUACGGUAUAUAGGCACGUGAGUGCGGGAUUUGGACUUGUGUCCUGGGUUGCAUUCGAGUUGGGUAAACUCGAAGUGCAUGGUUUCUGUAUGUGUUACGGUUCGCACAAGCUGGUGUCUAAGUCGAGAGUAGUGGCAGUGUACUUUUUCGGACAUCGAGUGGUGGGGCGACGUCCCCCAGGUGUUGCCACUCCUGUCAGGUGGGGCCUUGAAGGGCCAAGUGAGAUUUUCGGGGAGUGUCAUAGUUGCCGACGCCCAGGCCACUCUCUCUACUUAGGACACAAGAGCUGUUGCGAGUGUCUCUACGGAGACGGCACUGAGAUCAGUUACGGUCGUGACUUCUGUGGGGCUACUAGGGUGUAGCCCAGGGUUUGGUAACGGUCGUUUAGGUGACUGCAUUGUUAGUGUUGCUUCCGCAGAUCUUUGGGUAGGGUUGCGAUGCCUACCUCUCCUCCUUGAUUGCUGAUUGGAAUCAGCGGUUCGAAUCUUUUGACCUUUACCUCGUUC
rnacentral:lncRNA from 1 species